CUGCUGAAAUAUAACCAUGAAGUGUGUUUCCCAAUUUGAAUUACAUGUUUACAACUGCAUGCGCAAAUAUGCAGCUUUGUCAGUCAUUGCGGGGAUGGACAGUGGGACGAAUCAGUCUCAGUACAGAUUAAAGAUGUUAAUGAUAACAUAUUGUUAUUAUAAUUUAAGUGUCUUGGAUGUCCAAAACUAAAACGUUUUGAAAGGUUAUUCGUAAAUGUUCAAAUGCACAAAGAGAAUUCCAUUCACCUGCAACAUCUGUGAGAUAAUCCAAUGAUUCCUUGUGGUAAGAGGGAGAAACUGAUGCAGAGCGGCAGAAGUGUGCAAGCCAUCCACAGAAAUCAGCUCUGAUUGUAAGUCUUAUUAAUUAAUAACAUCACAGCGAGGGCCGGGGCAUUAAGCGGAUUACGGGCAUACUUGUAAACCCACACAAUCUACUGGAUAUGAGCACUCUCAACUCGCGUUUGGCUGCAGGACCGGGAAUAUAUGUGCUCAGUUGAGUUAAACCUUCCCCAUUCAAAUCCCCGCUAAUUUGACGGUCCUCUAUACUCUCACAUUUGGUUUGGCCAGGGCCCACAAUGAUUGAUGUGGCAGAAAACCUUACUGGGAGACGCUGCAUGUUGUGUUGAUGGUCCACUUAACUCCAUAAUCAGGUGGAGGGGUGUUCGUGUGUGUGUCUGUGAUAUUGAUUGUCCCACUUUCUUGUCCCCCUUUUUUUAAAGCUCUUGCUAUGUUGGUGUGUUGGAUUACCUGGUUGGUUAUAUCUCCCCUUCCUGCAAUGAAAUUCCAGAUUGCCCCAUCCUCAAUGGUCAAAUAAAUUCUUACAGAAAAAGAAAUUGCAGCUGCGGGAACCAAAAUCGAUUUGAUUUGGAAUUGGGUCUGCAGCGACGCUGCCUUUGCAGGCUGAUAUUUUAUUCAGAGCUACCGACACGUCGCGGAGACAUUUGGGAAAAGCGAUACAUGUCUUUUAGAUAUGAAGUUGUUGUGCUAGCUGCCUUAUAAAUCAUGACUCCUCUCCCAAGCUUUCUCAUUGCCAUCCGGAAGUGUUAACAUCUUUUACAGCUCAAUUUCUUUUCCUUUUUUUACUGCAGCUACUGCUGCCUGAUUGGCCGCAGAGUAGUAUGAUGGUUGCCUCCGCCCUAUUUAUGUUUUUUAAAGAUGUAGAGGGGAAAUGUGAAAUAUGAAAGCUAUGAAAAAUGUGGAAGCUCAAGAAAAUGCCAGCUGUCGUUUGUGCCGUUAUAGUGGAUGAGGCGCGAGAAGGCUCGCUGAGACAGAGCGUGUCAUGUCAGGUGUUGAGCGUCCAACCGCGCGCCGUCUUGUUUUCACUCGCGAUCAGUCAUCAACGGCGGGGGCGACGCCGACAGCUGCCAGUGCAGGAAUUCUCUCUCAAUCAACCGGUUGAGGUAUUUUGUAGAAUUCAGCUCUUGUGCCUCCUUAAAAAAACAUUGGUUUAAAGCUGGUAGAUGUGUUGGUAUAAUAACGUAAUUGUGGUUCAAAAAUGCUAAAAUGAGGUAAAAAGGAAGAACAAAUCACCACAAUGUAACAAAUUGCUGUAAAUUUACGGUGCAUUUCUAACGGUAUCUUACAGUAUGUCAUAAUAUCUGUAACAUACAGUUACAUUUCCAUCCCUUGCUUGUAAAUUAACAGCCAAUGUCAUGAAUAAACAGUUAACGCUGUCAACUUACAAUAAUAGCAGACUACCGUAAUUUAACUGCAUGUUAAAUAUAUUUUAUGAAGUGGUGGAAAUACACAUACAAGUGCAGUGAACCACAAUCCACCUACAUCUGUUGUAGGUUAAUGUAUGGAAGCCCAUGUCAGCCACUGAAAAACCGGUCCUCUAAGUCAUCAUAAUGAGAUAGUAUCUCAUGAGAUACGAUGAUGAAUUUAAAUUACAGGACAUUACUAUACAUGCAGCUGUUACGUUUAUCCAAAAUGCCCACAGGUUUGACAUAAUUUUGUGGAGUAAUCUGGGGUUAGGUGUCUUGUUCAGGGACACUUGAACUUGGCACAGGGAGCAGCCAGGAUUCAAACCGCCAACCUUGUGCUGCACAGCACACCCUCCCUAUCCCAUGUGACGCCUUCGCCGUCGUUUCAUUGGCCGGAAUGUAAAGAUUAUAAAUAUUUGUAUUAUUCAAAGUGUUCAUUACCUGAAAGUCAUUUGAGUGUUAAUCGUGACCGACUGCUCCUGAACGUCACGUCAGACGCGUAAUCUCAGUUCAUCCAUAACACCUGUCAGUGCAGUUAAACAUCGGAGGAGUUUCUCAUUGCCUCGUCUCUCCAAGUAACGUUGGUAAGUGUUAUUUGCCUAGCAUGAUUAACAUUCUCCUUCCUUACAUCUUGUUGUCUUCCUCAACUUUGUAAUUUUAAUAUUUUACCAAUGACAGAGUUUCUAAAUAUUUAAUUUUGGUUUGUUUUACAGAGGUUAUAAGUAAACGGUAACACUCUGGUAUUUAUAACACAAAAACAGUAAUCGUAUGGUAACAAACUAAUCCAAUAUACGACAACAUACCGUAAAUUACGGUAGGGCACUGUAAAUAAAACACUAGUGUCAACUGCCAGUAAAUUGCAGUUAAUUCACAGUAAAAUUUGUUCAAGUUUACGGUAACAUACAGUAAUUAAUUUUACAGUAGCAUAAUGUAAAAACCAUUUACGGUAUUAUACCGUAAAAUAACGUUAAACUGUAACGUGGGAAAAAUGUAUGUCUAUGUACAUAGAAGUGAAAACAAAAGUGAAGUACAAUGCACAUUGCUUAUUUGACCUAAUUUGCUUUCCACGGUACUGUGUAUAUAUUCAUUUCCUGUUUAGUGAGUUAUUCCCGACAUUUGGCCUCCACCUUUUUAGCGAUGUGGCCAUGCUUUGUCCAACGUCAUAAUAAUCUCGUAAAUGGUGGAUAGUAGGAGAAGCUAGAGGUCUAGCACACCUAGAGCUGAACUUUAAAUGUCAAUCAGCCUUCAUGUAUCACAGUGGUUUCCCCACUCAAUUUCUGAUGGAGAAAUCAACAUAGAGGAAACAUAGUUUACUGUUAGUUUCAAACAAUCAUACAGUCCUUUGUUGCUCUUCUGAGGUCAAGACCACAUUUUGUCCUUAAAAUUUAGCAGAAGGCGAAGCUGAACAUAAAAGUUUUCAGUCUUGUUUUAAACGUGGUCAGAGUUGGGGCAAGUCUUAAAUCUUCAGGAAGUUUAUUCCAGCUGUUUGUUGCGUAGUAACUAAAUGAUGCUUUCCCAUGAUUUGUAUUUACUCUGGGAAUCACUAACUUGGUGUCUCCUGAUGAUUUUAAAGACAGGAGAACUACAUAAAGUAUUAUGUUAUGAGUAUUUUAAUUAGCCCAGAAAAACAAAAAAACAAAACAUACAUGGGGGUCACAUUCUCCUCGAAGGCCAAAAAGAAUCCACCGGUAUCAGCUUCCAUAAGGGUCUGAUUCUGUAUCGGGUGUGAUAUCACCGUCAGCAGCGUUUCCAACCGGAUGGAAUAUUUAAGGGGUUUGAUGUACGGUGGGCCACCACAUCCGUGCGUGUUCCCCCCCCCGGCACUAAUGAAGCCUGGAACUCUGGAUCUGGUGGACUGGAGGAGGGGUUGGGUAGGGGGAGAUCAUCAGAGAGAGGGGUCUCCCGGGUCCAGCCGCGACAGCCUGCAGGAAGGAGGCUUGCCUCGGCGGCCGUGAUGACCAAACGCGGCGCUGAUUGGACAUCUUGCAUGCAUUACGGAGGGUUAGAUGAUGCACUGUGUCCUUCAGCCCAGGAGAUCCGAUAACAAAGCCGAGCUGUAUAGGGUAAGGCGAUCCCGGCAGCAGGCCGCUGCCUCUGCUCCCAAAGAAACACCUCUCUGUUCCACCGCCGUGAAAGUGGAGACCUUGGGAUGCACACAAUAAAGAGUCGCAUGUGGACGCGAACAUGUGGAGAACAGGUAUGGGGGACAGGGGAAGGACUGUGUUGUGAAGGUCCUCGGAUGGAAGAAAAACAGGGGGGCGGAAAAAGGCCAUUUCAAAAAAUAAAACUCAAUGAGAACUUUUUCUCAUCUCCUUUCAUCAAAUAUUACCCCACCUUAUUUCCUAAUUUUGAAUGCAUCUUACUGUUUUUCUUUGGUAAUUUCUUCAUUUUAUUCAUUCACUAAGUUGUCACACAUAUUAUAUUUUGUAAUUUGGUAUUACAUUUUUGCACAAUCCUGCACAGAACAUGUUUAAUACUGUGAUACUGUUAUGUUUUAUCAGAGCAAUUUCAGAUCUUUAAAUUACAUAUAUAAAUAAAAAAGCAAAAAAUGGAUUUUAACAAGCAUUAAAUUAGAAGUGAAAAGCACAUUAAAACACACACACUGCAUUUCAAGCCAUAUUUAUUUCAAGACAUUAUCGGGAGCAAGGACGUAUAAUUAUUGAUUAUGUGAAUAAUGAAUAAUAAUGAAUUCAAAGAGAAGGCACCUUUCUUUCUUUCUUUCUUUAUUUACGUGGUCUUCAAGUGACAUAAGGACUUUUUACUUACAAAUUGCUCUGCGUGGAAACCUUCAAUGGCCUUUACAACCACACAGUCCCAGAGAAGAAACAAAAGCAGCACAUAAAUAGAAACGUGCAGUUAAUUUUUCUAACCUACUGUAUAGAUUUCACAUCUAUGACUGCUGCUUUCUGUAUUCCAGCCAUGCAGAGGCGUGACUAGAAAGAUAUACUGUGCAUUUGAUAACUGCCUCAUGAUUUAUUUUGAAAAUACACUUAACAUCAUUGAUAAAAAAAUAGCUCAACCUGGCCUAAUCCCAUUUGCUUAUUUUUCCUCCUGUGUGUAAAAGGUGUGGACCAGCGCCCUGAAAAAAGUCAGGCUAACAACAUUUCAAUAUGUUUUUUCUUUGUGGGGAGGGUUCAGACCUCAUGUCUGUGCAGAUGAAUGGUCGCUUUUGUGCUGAGAGAGAAAACCAGCCUCUGGCUGUAAUCAGCAGGCGACACUUUGGUUUAUAUGUGUCGACAUUUUUAUUCCUGACAAGAUCACGUCACUUGCAGUGAGAACAACAGCGUGAGUUACGAGGGUGUACUUUGUAUGGAGCCCGUCUUUGGUGCGUGGGAAAGACAAAUGGCGGACGUACAGUUCCCAUCCAGAGAAGAAAAGCAUCCAGAGAAGAAGAGAGAUGGCACGUCUGGCAAAUGAUCAUGUGGCACGGAGCAACAGAUUAUGUUCAGGGGGAAACAAAAGUUUGUCUCUACGUGGAGAUUUGUCUCCUGGCUCUGAGCUGACUCCUUUGCAAGGAUCUAUUGUUCUGCUGCAAAGACACAACAAGCUCACUGCGACCAACGGACCCCUCCACCUCCCUCCAUCAAAGAGGUGCAUGAUAAGUAAGUGCUCUCCUGCACAACCACCAGUUAACUCAAUUCAAAGCGGGAUUGGUCUCUUUCUUCUAUUUGUUUCCCAGAGAAAAUACAGUCACACUAUGCAAGUGUAGAUUUCAUAAGACUUGAAAGGAAAGCUUUAUCUGUUUAUGUGUUACUUUAUACAAUAACAGGGCCGCUGCAGUGAGGGAGGGACUGAUUUUUGGGUCAUUAAGCUUCUCAAACUUUUGUAGACAAAGGGCCUAAUUCAGAUUAAGAAUGACAACCUCCAAGCACCAAAACAAUAUACUGGGCUGUUUAGCGGUGAAAUGACUCCGUCAGCUGUAAUUACCAAACUAAUUACCAUAGCAACAUUUUUUGAAAUUGUUAUCCAUGUUAAAAUGAAGCACUGAGAAGUGAAAGCUGACGUGAUUAGUUUUCUUCCAAGAAAUCAUUACAUGUUAGAGGAUUGAAGAAUUAGAGGCAGACACGUCGGGACUUAUUAGAACGAAUCAAGCAGCAAGCGUAUUUGGUAUUUUCUCAAUUGUUUUCAAAUUUUUUCCGUUUCUGCACAUCCAGGCUGAAAUACACCUCUUGAGCUUUCAAAGUAAAACGACUUCAGCAUUUCUGUCAAAAGUCUCUGAACAAGGGUUUUUAGAGCUUGGGAGUUCUGUCAGAGAGUGGCAUAAAUGUAAAGGUUAAGUGCUUUUAUACAAAAACGUUAUAGUGUGGAUGUAGCCUUCGAGGGAUAUUGAUUUGGUUGGAUGGGAAAGGUUCCAUUCUAUACCUUUUUCACAUUUCCAAAUUCCCCAAAUCCCUCUCUAUAAUCAGACUAAGUCAGGCAACCUGCCCCUAGUUAGUCAAGGGUGGACACAUCAAUUAGUUAAUUUACUUUAGUCUAAUUAGUCUAAUCAAAUUAAAUAUUACAUUAAAUCAAAUCCCUUUUUGUGCAUUAACGCUGGUGUUUUUCACUGGCAAUCUGGGCUGAGGGGGAGGGCCUUUGACUCUCCUCCUAAAACGUUUGUGGCAUCAGACACUGUAAGGGUGGAGUAACAUAUCAUUAUGUAUAGUUUUUUUUUCUCAGCAUUUGAAUGAUAAAUGUCCCUAUUAUUACCAUGUUUUAGAGGGCUUAUCCCUGGGUGGUUUACCUCACCCCUAUGCAGUGGACUAGUCCAAUUAGGGUGGGGCCAGGUGAGGCAGUAAAGCCAAUAUACUGGGCUGGUGUAAAGUUGUUGGAAGCAGUCUGCUCUGUUGCAAGGCUGCACGCACGCACGCACCUUUCCUCAAUUUCAUUGGCGAUUCUGGUCAGUAUAACCUUUAUAAAUCCUUAAUGUCUUUAAAUAUUUUUUUAGUAGGCUAGGAUUGGUAAUUCUACACAGAUUUAUUUGAAACGUGUCUUGUGGAAAAAAACAAGUCCUCUUCAAUGAAAGGGAGUAGCAGCUCUACUUCCAAAAGUCAAGAUGACGACACUGAUGGCCUUUCCCUUCAGGACUAUCCCCAAAGCCACUACCCUAAAAGUAUCAUGAUGAAAAUAAUGAAAAAGGCCAUUUCUAGUACUCAUCUGUCAAGCCAGCUGAUUGAGGAGGACUGGUGACGAGAAAUUAGCACAUAAUUGCUGUCAUGGUGGAAUGAGAAUUUCGACAAAUAUAUAUUUAAAAAAGAUUGCCCACACUGACUUGAAUCCAUGUGUUGUUUUCUGACCAAACUACCGCUGCCCUUGGAGUAUAGUGUUUCUAAUGACAGUGCACUCUGCAGUAGAAUUGGGGAAGUGGCAAAUGCAGCCCGUCAUGCUGCUGUUGAAGUGGUUUCUGCGCUGCGACACACCCCAUCUAUCCCUCAGGCUCUUCAUCCAGGAACCACGUAUCAGCCCACCACCACUCCCCCUCAUCCUUCCCAGCCAGCUCUGAAUGAAAGAGAAAAUAAAGAGAUCUAAAUGUCAGCGGGGAGCUGAGUGCAUUCCUCUCGCCGUGUCCCCAGACCGGUCACCCAGAACAACUUGUGAUCCUGGGACAAAGCUGACAACAGCAGGUGGCCAUAUAAAGAAAUGUUCCUCCCAGAAUUAGAUCUUAUCCCAGAGAAGUACCAUUGAGUCAUAGAUAAUACGCCCCCCCCCCCCCCCCCCCCCCCUACAUUUCAUUUCAAUUUCUUUACACAACGAUGCUUUUCAUCUUGACCAGGGUGAGAUGACAGGGCUGCGGCUAUGAAAUAAAUGGGAAGCAGUUGAAAGGCGGAAUUAUCCCCUCGACCUGCAACAUUGCUUAGAAUGUCCCACUGUUUCCAUUGAUGGACAUUUGUGGCAUUCUCCAAUGCAACGGGAAAAAAAUAUUUUACAUACACUCAGACACACAGUCACACAAACAGAGACAAAUACAAUCAGACAGGAGUAGUAUCUAUCUUCUCGCUCUCACACACACACAAACUUUAAUCCAAACAGGGCUGGUAUUUUAUAAUUUCAUCUCUUCUGUCUCAUUUUUUCCGAUCCUGUUAUCUAGGGGGCAUAUAAAUGAUGCAUGAGGAUGAAAAUGUCACCCUCAGAAUAAAAAGGAAGCAAUUUUGUUGUUUUCAACUUUCUGCCUUAGUGUUUGCUGCUUUGCAGUAGUGAAAGGCCAACUGAAAGAGCCAAGCACUUCAAAGUGAUGGGCGCAGGAGAGACAUAAUUCACACUGUGUGAUCCGAACUGAGUUAUGUCUAAGUGACAACUGACUGAUCAGUCGCAAUUGUAGCUAAUUCUGGAUAUCAACGUUUCACAAUUGUACCAGACAUUACUGAGCCUUCAACUUGGACUGACGCUUGCAAUAAGAUAAUCCCUUCCAUUAAGUCUGCUGUUAAGUCGCGGGAGUCUCAUUUUCAGCCAUGUUGUUGGUUGUGCAAAGUGCCAUCAGAAACCUGGAAACAAAGUUAGUAUGCAUCGAGAAACAAAAACUUGAGUAAACCAGUUAUCCAGGGAAUCCGAUCCGUCGUCCCCAUCAUUCGAGAAGAUACCGCAAUGGGGCCCAAGACAGACCCGAGGGGUGAUGAUAUGAUUAAAACCUGUAAAGUAUGUGUUUCUAAAUGGUUCAGAAUUGAAAGAAAUAAAAAAAAACUCAGGAAUAUGGGUUAUCAAACAAAGCGAAGUCAUGGAAACUUGUCAUAAGUAAUUAUGACUUUGUGUGUUUCUCAGCAAAAUGAUGAUGUAUUGUAGGAAUUUUGCCUUUUUGGGGCCUUUUUCAUAUGCAAAAAGAUGUUAAAUUUGGCAUGCAUAUCACGACUGGUGAAAAUUUGAAAAUUUUGCGGCCUUGCAUCUGGGUAUAAGAAAUAUCUCUAUAGUGCCUCCUAGAAAUUUGAAAAGUAUCACAUUAGGCCAGUUUUUCCGCCCGGUGUCCGAUUUAUUUGAAAUUAGGCACUAGAUUUUCCGCCAUUUUGAAUUUUGUCAUAAACACAUUUUGGCCCAUUUCUCCUAAAUUCUGUGUCACGAUUGUCACAAAAUUUUAUGUGGAUCAUUAUUAUAAAAUCGUAUUGAUAUCUUGUGGUUUUGAGGGGUAAUGAACUUUGCAAGGGGUGUAGCUUAAUCUGGCAAGACAAAUAAUUAACUAAUUAAUUGGCCUGUCCUCACCAAAAUACAUGAACAUAUGUAAACAUUGGACCCCUGAACACACACUAAUUUUUUAAUAAUAUUUGAAGACUUGACUUGAAUAUUUGAAGGCGCUGCAGUUAAUCGUUGAAAAUCUGCCCUUUUAGCCUAUUUUUUUCAAUUUUUAGGGUUGUAAAAGACCGAACUCCUCCCAAAGAUUAGUUCACCAAUGUGGCCAGUCUGGUCUUUAGACCUUUGCCUUUAAAAAUUGCAUUAAGCUUGAAAAAAUAUUAAACUAUGUGAGCAUGGUGCUUUGGCAAAAUACUACAAUUUGCCAUGAAAAUUGAAGUUGUUUAAAAUCGGGCAAAAAUGAUCUAAGCUGCUCCAUAUUUCAUAUUUCUAGUGACCUCCUUACCCUGUAGACAUCCAUAUAAUUUUCAAUAUCAGUCAUAGCGCCACCUGGUGGCAACAUUAAGUUACAUGGUUUUUACAUACUUUAAUCACAUCCCUCUAAAAUGUAGUCAGAAAAGACCUAAGACCUUGAUAAUGUUAGUUUCCAAAAAGUUACUCCCAGUUUCCAUCAACGCUGUUAACGACGACUGACUCAUGGACGCUUUGUCCGACGGCCGCAGGCGUUCGCAGACACGUUUAUAGCCGUCCAGCCAGUGCCCCUACGUGCGCGAGUAGCAGGCACCUGUCCAUCGCUGCUUGCAGCUUCAAUUGGCGUUGUCUCUUCUCCUAUCAUACUUCUUUUAAGCAGUGUCGCUGUGUUCCUAGACAAUUACAAAAAAACGGUGGUGGCCAAAACUUCCCAAAUUCAAUCAAAAAGUUACAUUAUCAGACAAAAACCCAGAUGAUGUAUGGUAAACUGUCUAUGUUUUAAGUGUUUGGUAUUUCAAGAUUCAUGCUGGUAUUUGAAUCACGUCUGGGUUCUAUAUUACUCAUAAAACGUUUCAGAAAGUUUCUCUUGCAGAUAAGAAUGCAAACAUUCAAACAUAUUGAAAAGAACCAAUAUCCAUCAAAACUCCAUGGCUUCAUCAAUUUUUUCAUGGCAGGCAGCUCAAAGGGCUUUUUUGCAUCUUGACAUCCCUUGAAUCUGUUGAGUAGCCAUUCUAUUUUUUGAUCCAUGCCCAUCGACAUUAGACAUUGUGGAUUCCUGCUGCAGACCAAAGUAAAUAUCUGAAAAGCUCAAACUACUUUCAUUUUUUUUUGAUGGAUAGCUUUGCUAUAAGAACCGUAAACUGGUUUUGAGCCCUAUUAUGCGCCAAAGGCCAAGUUUGAGCAACCGUGAAUGACUUAUAAACCUAAAAUGCAUUAUUUACAAAUAGAAGCGCGCAAUUGUGUAUUUGGUUUGGACUUUGUCAUCAGGGUUCAUUUAAUCCAAGAACAUGCUCAUAGCCUCAGCGGAAGACUCAUGGAAUGCUAUUAUGUUUCACUCUAAAUUGCCUCAAAUGCAACACCAGCCCGUAAAUUUAAGAUCCACAUGCAUGUGUGUGAUGUUAUGUGGGUUCAGUGCAGCUCCAGCCUAGGAAAAAAGUCAGUUGCCAUUGGGAUUGAAAUAAUUCUAUAUUAGCAGGGUUGUCUCUGAAAUCCCAAGCCCGGAUGCAAAACUGAGGGGCGUUUCCACGGAGUAGCCUGGAAUUUCAUUAGCCAACCCAGGUACUACUCCAUUAUAAUUGUCCAUAAGCCCCCGUUAGAAGUGGGGGCUAAAUUUGAACUGUUUGACGAGUAAACCAAACCUUCGUUUACAAGCGCAAUCAGGGUGGUUCCAAAAAUGUUCUUAUGUGUGUCGCGUACCUCCAGAAUUCUAAGCUUGGAAAACUAAACUCGGGGACGGGGGUCAAGAAUUUGUUUAGCUAUCAUAGCACCCCCAUUCCGAUUAUCUAUCCGCCCUAAUCAGAGGAGGGGGCUUAGUUUUAAUAGUUUGACAAGUAAACUGUGAUUGAUGGAGAGGGUGAAUGGAAUGUGCCUUGACAGCACUUGCACAUAUGUGGGAUUCACGCUAAAUACUUUAGUCAACUGGGAAACUUUCCUGGGCGGAGUUGUAUAACUAGUAAUAUUUCAGUUGUCAAGCUGAAAGCUAACAACAGAUAAUUACAUCCACUUGUAUUCCUUUCAGUAUCCUUUAAAGUAGUGGUCACCAACCUAUAUGCGAACAAUUUAAUAAGCACUAAACUCAAUCACGUGGAUAUAGCCACAGUGGAAUAGAAUGGACACAUCGGAACUCUACAACAGUCUCUGCACCGGUGAGAUCAAGUCUCAGUUUACUCAAACGGUCCUCGCUUUGCUUUCCGCUCUGACAUGAUUUGAAUCAGUCUGAAGUGUGUCUACUCAGUUGCAUGCCCUUAUAAGAAGCUGGCGGGGCGUUUCUGUAUACGAAUCCAGCUGCACGAGAACGUGCGUUUGGGUGAGCAGAGCUGAGAACACUCCGGCAGUGAUCAGCCGUUCUUGAAUCAGAUCUUUUCUGACGUUGGUCUUUCGAGGUCCGUAACAAAACAUUUCAGAAGACACUGCAGAAAAUGUUUGAGAAUGAUAAACAAUGUGUUUAUGAAUUUAUAUUUGUUUUUUUUUGGAGAUUGACCUGGAAAGUCUCUGAGAUAGACCCGUCGAUUUGGCGACCUCUGCUUUUAAGUGACUUAAAUGGCUGUAACAGAUUUUAACCAUGGUAUCUGCCUACCAUGUUGAAUUAGAAAUGUUUCUACCUUCAAAAGUUAUCAGUAGGGUUAGUCAAUUAAAAAAACUGAAAUACUAUAACAAGUGUUUUAUUUGAAUGCAGUAUUGAUAUAGAAUGUGCCUAAAGAGCAUUGUGUCAUCCUUGGUGACUCUGCUCUCUAUCUGCAAACAGAGCCAGAGCCAGUCAAUCUGCUAUCCCAGCCUCACCUUUCCCGGAUCAUUUACUGGUUAACACCUGCUACUUUCAUGUCGCUAACUCGCAGGCUGCCCACAAUUGCCUGGCCAAAUGGCCUGAGACCACCUAUUCUGCAGGUCCCCAUUCAGGAUCAGUUGAACCCCGGCCAGGAGCAAACUCUGCCUAAUUGACCCCAUAUGUUCUCCCACAGUUUGGAUCCACCCGCUAGCAGUAUCUACGGUUCACUACCAAAAUGGCUUUUAGUAACGUCAUGCCUGAAUAAGCUCAGUGAUCAAAGAACAAAGAUGGUAUUGAUCAGUAGGCAGCAAGUCCCGGAUAAAAGCUUCCUUGUUUUUGUGGCCGAAAGACAAAUUGUGGUCGAAUGAGCUGAAAUAUUAUUGAAUACAAAAAUGCCAACAAGAUUACGCACAUGAAAUUAACCGAGGCAUUUGAAAAGAUGAAAAAGACACACAUUAUUUUUAUUUGGGACAACUUAAUGUGUGUUGUGUUUAUCUUGUCAGUACAGUGUGUCCUGCAGCCUGCGCACGGCCUUAAAGGGACAUAUCUGCCAGACGGGGGACAAGCAGUAGCUGGCAGGACUGUUGGAAAUCAGCAUCUAUUGGCAGCUGCACAGCACGGAGGAGCUGUUGCUCUGUGUGGCCUUCACUUCCACUUGUAAUUUAUCUGCAGGUUGUUACGGGAUUUUGUAGAAACAGUCUGGAACAUUUGCUAAUAAUUAUGUUUCCGAUUUAUUGCUCUUUAUUGCACAAAAUUAUGUAAUAAGUUUGUCAAAGCUUUGCAUUCACUGCUCUGAGCAUCUGUUCAGGUUUUCUGGGGAGAAACAAACAACAAAUUAGAGGAUAUGUGUUUCUGGCAGCAGCUAAAUUCAUCUCUUUGAGAUGGUGAACAAAAUACACAUGUACAUUCUUACAUGUUGUGUGUUGACUUAGCUUAAUCUUAUUUCUUCAGAUAAUUGGUAGCGGGGUUAGCUAUUUCACUUAGGGUUCGGGUUAGGGGUUUCAACCCUAAAUUGUGAGAACUGGUUCUUCACCCAGUGGGGUGGAAGGGGUUAGGGUUAGUGAAAUCCUCUUCAGAGCAAUGAUGAUUUAGUGGGAUUUUAGGUUAAAUUGUUUUACCCUUUUUGAAGACCUAAACCAGGGAGACUCCCUGGUAUAGAAUACUCGUUUCUCUACUCCAUGGCACCCAAGCCAAUGAGUUUCGACUUCAAAGGUAUAUUACACAGAGAGUUUGAAAUGGCACAGUAAUUCCCUACUGUUUUAGUAAACAUUACUGAAACAGUGGGAUAUAGUGCAGCUGCUGGUGCCUGUUUCGAGCAGGCGGGUUCAUACAUAUUUGGUGCUCUAGUGCUGGAUCUUGAUGCCAGUCCUCUCUAUUUACUUAUUAAUGUGUACUUUUUGAGUGUUUCUAAAAUUACAUUUUGAAUCCUGUGGCCGACUAUUGUAGAUAAUGUACAUCAUACGUUUCACAUUUGGUCCUGGAUUUGGACUCUGGGAAUAGUAACGGUUCUUGUGACGUCCUAGGUUACUGAUAGCAUUGAUACCCAACAUGGCCGAGAAGGGAAAAAAAUUAACUCCACUAACACAAAGCCAUAUUCAUAAAACCACCCAAAUCUGAAGAAGGCCCAUCAUCAUAUUGGCUUUUGAUUUGUUUUAAGGUUACCACCAAAAAAAAGUAUGUUUUUGUUCGUGAGUGGGAGGGGAGACAACAUUUCAAAAGAACUCAUUGGUAGAUACAAACAGCUCAGCAUCUGUGGCAUACCUCCCAUAGUGCCAGAGGAGAGAACCAGUUUUUCAAAAUAGCUCCCUUAAACUGUUCCUCCAUCAAACCACCGCAGAGACAAUCUGGAACAAAUUGUGAUCUAACUCUUCCUGGAAUUUCAAGGACCUGCCUAUACAAAUAUCAGCAAUUUAAGGGGAACCAAAUACAAGGCAAAGCCCUUGAGCAAGAGCCAACACUGUACGAGCUGUCAAAGAGGAAGAUGUCCUUAAAUCAUACCAGAUAAUUACUGUCGAUUAACUUUAUAAGGAUGCAGAACAUUUUUUGUUUUUUUUACAUCUGAUUAGGUGCUCAUCAUAACACAACAAAAUGGCCUACAAAUAUUUAUCACCGUAUUUUCACAGCUUUGUUUUUAAUUGCCUCGUUACGGGGCCCAAAUAAUUAGUCCCUCAAAAUGUGUGUGUGUGUGUGUGUUGGGGGGAUGGAGGGAGGGGGUUUGACUGUCAGAUGACAAUCAUGAGAAUGGGUCUGAUAGCUGUAUCCAUCAAGUCUAAUGUCAUUCCGGUUGCCCUGAGCAACACAGCAUGCAUGGAGAUAUACUGUAAUUUCAUUACCUCAUCCCACAUGAGUAAUAAUCCGAAAUGUCUCCCAAAGCAGUUGCAAAGUGAAGCAUCACAAGUUUCCAUCUCUGAGGGGCGAGAUUAGAGAGAAAUUGUUAACCAAAUGCUUUGUGGAGAAAUGACCUCUCCCUGGGACUCAUGAUGGAACUCUGUUUUCAACAUGUAUGAAAAAUGAUGCGAAACUCAAUGCCUCAUAACCUCAAACCAAAAUUACCUCCUUUUUUAAGAGUAAUUCUAAGAUUUGGGCUUAUUAACAUUCAUUUUUCCAAAAGUAAGUUGAGAGGAUCAAUGUCAGUCUUGUGUCCAUGUGACACAUACAGUACAUGUAGUACAUGGACACAAGACUGACAUGUACAUCUGGAGUAGACUAAUUUUGAUUUAAGAUUAGAAGCACGAGAAACAGGUACCAUGUCAAGUUUAAAAAGAAAUAUGUCUACCAGCAACUCUAAAAAAGAACUAAGUGCAAAACAAUGACAGUUAGGACUCAUAUGCAUUGGAUCUGUUUUUUAGUGAACAGCCAGUUCAAGUAGACCCUGUUUGAACCAUUAACUAUUCAGAGAUCCAACCCAUCAACUCAGCAACAAUAUAUGGCAACCUGCACCAUGACCUGAGGAAAUUCUAAUGUUGCUUUAGUUGCUCUUAAAAUCACACAUUUUAAUUUACCUCUAUUGUAAUAUUGUGGUUUGGGGACGUUAUGAAGACAGUCAAUCUAUGAUAUCUUGGAAAAAUAAACCAUAAUUACCACUGAAUAAAUACCAGUAGAGAUAAAUUACUGGUUAGAUUUAGAUUAGCUCUUAUUUCGAGGUCAUUUUAAUGAUUCUCUCAUUUUUUAAAGCACAAUGCUUCAUCUUGUUAUUUGUUUAUUUAGAGGUCACCCAAUGUUGAUUUUUCUCAUUGUUUGUUAUUUCCUGCUUUUGUCAUGGAAUUUUUGUUGUGUGAAUCAUGCUGGCUGUGCUUGCUCUCAGACCUGCUGUGAAAAAGAGGCGGAUGGAGGCCUCAUUUCCCGUCCCAGGCCAGUGAACUCAAACAGUGAGCAGCUCUGUCCCAUUGACAGGCUGUGAUGAAGUGGCCUUUAAGACGACUGACCAGCGCACACGAUGGAUGGGAACACAUAUGCAUGUGUGCAGGCGGGGCACCUGUACUUCGUCUGCCAUGUGACAUCGCCCUGCUGAGGUAUUUCCUGGUUCCUGGAGUCAUCACUCUUCUUCACAUUGUAAAGUAUUUUCUAAAGGUUUGAUGAAUAUAUGUUCUGCUUCUCCUCCUUGUUCUUCUGCAACCAUUUUUGAAAGAUUGCCUGACCUACAUCCUGUUUGAUGAAAGGUGACAGCAAUUCUUAUGCAGAUAAUAGUUUAUGUAUUGUAGUAGUUUCUUUGAAAUAAAGAAGGAAGAGCUGGAUAGUUAGUAGUGCAUCAUGACAAAUGACCAAAAUUACUACUGAGCUGAUAAACAAUAGUUGUUGCAUCUGGUGAUUCGUCAGCCACAUGUAAUCUGGCAUCUGGAUUUCCGCCGCACAUUGUAUUGCCAUGGACAGAAUUAACAAGCGGAAAUUGUGAAUUGAAAGAAAGGUCCGAAAACACUUCAUCCACAAAUACAUUCUGAAUUGCCAAGUUGUUCGAUACUUUUGAUAAUCAAAAGCUCUUUCAUAGUGCUCAUUUAGGGAGUGACUGUCUUGAGGAGUCCAAGGCCAGAGGAAAUGCAGAAACUGCCAACCAGGCAGACCCAGGGCUGAUAAGGUUGAGAUUUAGAGACACACCAAGCACCAUACAACACUCAUGCUUUGUUUGUUAUCUUCACGUUAUGUUAGAAGACCACACAUUGCAUGUGAUUGGAUCUUGUGUUGUGGCUAGAGGACCUGCUCCUCCUUGAUGCCAGUUUAGGGCCAAUAGAAAUCUUUUCUUUUAUAUCUAACAAGAAAUACAAAAUGUAAUGUUUUUCCUUAUGUUAGUGAGUUGUUCUUCCGGCCAGCGUGCUGCCAGAACUGCUCCUGCCUUUGCAAACGCAGCGCUUAUACUUGACCUGUGAUCUGACAAAUACAACUACCAGAACGAGAGAAGUUGUUUGGCUGAAUUUGUGCAGAAUAACCCCAACAGGGCUUCCAAUUUUGUUUGCGAUUUUUCACUUUUACUUAGUCAAUGUUAAUGCCAAACCAAAGAGCUUAGCCCAGUUGGCCACUUAAUAUUUAUUUGACCCCAAACCACGAUCACGAGCAUACAACAAACCAACCAACCAAGUAAAACUGAAAUCUAAAUAAAGUUUAUUUAUAAAAUAAUUAGUUUAUUAUUUUGACUUGACACAGUUCUCCAAGAGCCACAGGUGACAUACCUCUGAUGUCAUAUGACUUACGAGGAGUGAAAUGGAUAUUACGGAAUUAAUGUGAGUGAAUUAAUGGAUAUUAUUUUAGAAAUGAUUUAGGUCAUUUUGCAUCUCCAUAGCACCUGACCUCAGAAUAUUUAUUAAAUUAAUGAAUCUGUAUGAUUAAUACUGUGUCCAGUGGCUAUUGCCUUUUGUCCAAUAGAAAUUAGUAUUAAAUAGCAUUACCACUUCAAAGUUUGAUUCCUGUACAGAUAUAUAGAAAGCAUGCAAUUAUCAUGAAUGCUAAUAACAAUUCCGUUGCUGAUGAAUACAUUAAACAGAGUGUGUAGCCCAUUAUCUGUGCUAAUCUAAAUUGUGUGCUAUUGUCAGGGGGAUUUAAGAACAGCAUGAAAACCAGGAACUGUCAGCAUUUGGACAAAUUCCAGGAAUAUGCAGCUUUUCAAACUGUGAGUUCAGAACAGAACUUGUCAAUACAUAUUCAUUACAACAAGCUCUUAACUCACGGCACAUGAGUGGCAAAGCCGCUGUAAUGCUGUCUCUCCUCCUCAUGAUCUAUUAUUAUUUUAAUCAGUAUUGAAACAACCAUGUAAACAAACACUUCAUCCGUUUAGUUGGAAACAGUGGCGUCGCGGCGCUGCUCAGAAUUCAAAUCUGUGAAACUGUAAUGUUUUCUCAUGGUCCGGGCCGCCUUGCUUUUGUCCUCAGAGGGACUCCUCGCGAGAUGUGUGACUUGAAUAACAGGCACGGAGCUGGCCCCUCGCUGCAGAGGGAAAAUAGAGUUAGAAGAGAGAGAUAGGAAGAGACCUUCAGUGUGUCAUGGCAAGGUUUCUACUUCAAGAGCUGGUGUUCUCUGGGGACAGAUAGUCGCUUUAUUCAAGUAUUUGCUGGAAACUUUGCAUAGUGGCUGCUUCAGAUAGCAAGUAAAGGUAAUAUUUGAAUGGUUUGAUCCCCGGAAAUGGAGAAAUCCGAGUGCACAGAUUGGUAUAAGGCAAUCAUAAAUUGCACUCAAGUCUGGGAUAUCUUUAUCAGAAAAGGAGAUGAGAACGACUCAACAUUAAUUUUCUGUGAAUUGAGUGCCUACUCACAGCUAAAAGACAGUUUGUACAGUUUGUUGCUUAAUAAAUUACAUUCAUCACUUUUUAUUUUAUGUAAUUUCUACUGUUUAUUUUAUUUUAUCAGAGACUGAACCUAAAUGGCUAAACCAUUAGCAAACAUCAUUGAUCAAAACUAAACCACGUAGUCCAUAGCAGCAAAAACCCUGUAAUGCAAUUGUGCAAUGGUGAUUGUUAUUUCCUGUUUCAUAGCUGUGUUUUAAGUUGCUUCCCCACCACCGCUCACCCUCCUAACAACCAUCCCUCCCACCAUACCCUCAACAACCUUUCCAAAAUACAGUACAUUGUUCGGUGGAAGUUAGUUGGCGAUCAAUAAAAUAAUUCCUAAAGUAAUUCUGGUUGUCAUUAUAAGUCACAACCACAGGGUUGUACGACUAACGGUAUUCGGACACCAUCACUUUCUAUAUUUGAUUGGCCAAAGCCACGCGGUCAAUACCACAGAUUAACCCCAGUGAAUUCUGGGUGGCAGAGCUAAAUUUGUGUGUAUUCCCUACCUCUGUGAUCGCUUCCCGUCUCCCACCCAUUGCUCAUUAGCAGCUUCAUGAAGGGACUUUUGGGGUAUACGUUGUUGGCAACACUGAGCAGUUAGAACGAUUAUACAGGCCCCAGUUAGAUACAGGAUAUAUUUAUUCAUGUAUGAAAAAAAACUAGAGCUCCCAAAAAAGAGGCCAAAAUCACUUUUCUGUCAGUGAGUCAUGCCUCUCCCAAAACGACUUUUUUAAAGCCUGAUCAAGAACUAUGAACAAUUGAUUUUUUGAUUGGCAUAUGCUGUCCGUUCUAUCUAUCCAGGAGGAAGAGGGCCGUCACAGUCCCUCCAACCCUGCUGUCAGCCUCCCUUACUGAUGCCCAUGCCACCACCAGCUCUGACUGACAGCUUGAUGAACACCCCCCUGAUUAAUGUGACAGAUAAUUGGCCUGAAUGUUGGAACUCCCCUCCAUGCCCCCCCCCCCCCCCCCCGCCGUUUCCACACAGCAGAGGGCACGGUGGGUGUGAGUGCCGUGGUUCCUUUUCACACAAAACCUUAAGAGGUUGAAGUUGAUCUAACAGGCCAGCUGGCAUCAGCAGCAGAUUGAAGCUUUUGGUUCAGUGAUGAAAGGGAAUUUGCCCCAAAAGACAUUUUUUUGAUGAAUUCAAAGCAUUUACAGAGCCUUUGGCGAAUGGAAACAAUGAGCAGUUGUCUGCACACUCCAAGGUCCGUGCCUUCUUUUGCAUUUGAACUCUAACCAACCCACCUUAUUUUGUCAGGUCUAAUACGGUUGAAGACACUCAAAUCCUCCGCUGUGUCAGUUGUCUGAUGCAUAGUUAAAGAGUGUGCACUAUUUUGUAUCCAGGGGCCACUGUCUGGCCCUGUCUGAGCUGUUGCUUACUUGUCAAAAUCAUUGUGUUGCCAUGUCAAGUUCUUUCAUCUGGUGUCAGUGGGCUUCAGCGAUUCACUAUUAAAGUUCUGUUAUCUUGUGGGACCGGGCCAUGAACAUGACAGUUUUCACAGCCUCUUCAGUCAGUCUGCCAGAAAGGCAGGGAGGUGGGCUGCUUUUGUCACCAAGGAUGAAGACAGGACCAAAGGCUGAGGUAAUACCAGUUACCCAUUCCACACAGUUUGCACUGUGAAAUUAUAUUUAAGUUACAAACAAACUCAAAUACAUUUUAUACAUUAACUUACCAAACCUUAAUAAGCAUGUUUUGGGCAUAAAUUCAAAGAAUACCAAGGCCUUUCGUACAAAUGAUGAAAUAGAUAAAAUAGUAUGAAUUGGAGUGCAUUCCAAAAAUUUCAAGGUAAACUGAAGCAAACAAACAACAACGUUUUGUCUUCAAUCCAAUUUGGUAACAGGACUGAAAACAAAACAUUUAAGAGCAAAAAAUCUUCACCAAAAAUUACAUAUUUAUUAUAUCUAUUCUGAAUGGGUCAAAGGGGUUACCAGACCACAAGGAUCACCAUGGUGGUAGGCUUUGGUCAGCUGGCUUUGCUAAUAUCGAUGAUGCUAAUAAUACUGACGGGUUACAAAAUUUCACCAGCUUUGAUUAAAAUGGCCAAUUGAGAGUAAGGUGGUGGGCAUAUGGACAGUCAGAGAAGUGAAACUGAACUUUCAUCUGGUAAUUAUUGGAUGUAAUUCAGCAUGCAACCCUGGUUUAUCAGUGAAGUGUAAGAACUAGACUUCAGACUGGAGUCUCUGCUAAUGAGGCAAGUAGGGAAGACAGCUGUCUCAUUUGAAUGGGUCUAGCGCGGGUCAAACAUGCGUUGAGAACUGCGUCAUAAAGCAACUGUUGUCUGUGUCAGUAAGGUCCAACACUGAUGUUAGGUGGAAAAGGCUUGCUCUCAGAUAGAGUUCCAGUUCAUUCCAAAGUUUAUGGAGGUUGAAAUUAGUGUUAUUUGAAGCACAGUCAAAUUCAUCCACACCAUUUUUUUAUUUUUAGUGAGCUCAGUCCAAAGGGGUUGGAAAAACAUUGAGAAAUAACUUUAUAAUAUAACAUUAUUUCAUAUAUAUAUAUAUAUAUAUAUAUAUAUGAAAUCGUUUAUUUAUUUUAGGUACAGGGAAAAUAUUUGUUUUACACAUUUUAAGUGAACUGUUCCUUUUAAGAGGAUCAUUGUAAAAAUCUGACUUCCUCUCCACAUAUGCUGAGUAACAUCCUGUCGGCAUGAGUUGAAUGCAAAACCACUAAAUAAAAAAAUGAAAAACUGCAAAAGCGAGACACCUAGGCUUUGAAUUUUUGCAUCACUGCCACAGGCGUCGCCAGUUGGUUGCUUUGUAAUCAGACCAGAGGCUGAACUCUUUGCCCACUUUUCAACAGAUGGAGGCCUGGAAUUGAACCCUUCCACAUAACUACCACCUUGCUUCUAGACUUGCCUGUAGAUACAGGAAAGACCGAGCUGUAAAACUGAAAAAGUAUCUGUUGACUGAAAUUGAGCACACGGUGGCUAAGCUACUCUCAGGGAAUGUCUGUGUCAGCUGUUUGAUUGGUCGCUUUAGCAGUCACAUACAGUACUGGAGCUGCAGUUUUAAUGUAAUUUGUUUACUUUUUGCUUUACUUUAAACACUUUAAAACUAGCAUCUUCUAAUUUCCGGUUAAAUCGUCUGUCCACUUAUUGAAAACAUUUGCGUAUUAUAUUUUACGGCUCUAGCUCCAUACAUUUGUACAUAUAUUUCACGUUAGACUCUUACCUUAUGGAAGUGCAAGUGGAUGUUUAUGUUUUAUAUAUGAGUUGUGUAGUCAUUUGAUUGCUAACGUACUCUCAGUUUGGCAGUCCCAUUAAAACUACUGGAAUUAUGUGUAAAAGGGAAACUCUGAGUGGUUGCUUUUUAACAACCACAUUUUGGCCAUUUCUAUCACUUAGUGGAGAAAAUAUUAGUGUUAGGUUAACUGAAUUAGGCAAAACUGUUGCAGUUAUUUUCAAGGUUUAAUGUCUUUAAUUGUAUUAACUUCAAAUAUUAUUUAUUUUUCCCCACAUUGGACCAAUGAAAGAACUGUUAAAAUGCUACAACAUUAACUAAUUUUUUUUAAAGAAAAUAUGCAGGGAGCCAGCCAAACCCGAAACCCAAGCACCAAUAUUUGAGGUGCUGGAAGGGAGAACAUUUUGGCUUUACAUACUGUUGUGUAUUAAAAUAAUGUAUUCAUAUCCUGUUGGUAUGAGCAUGUAACACAUCUAUCAGCAGGUAACAUACCUAAUGUUCUAUGGUGUCUUAUACCUCGGUGAUCAAUCAAAGAAAGGAAAACAUUGACUCACACCAUGAAUACCAAUUUUUUCUCAACAAGUAGGAAUUGGUAUUGUUUUGGCACAAUAAUACUUGUCGAAGAUUACCAGUAACAGAGGAAGAUAGGGUCCACAGAAUCCAUGAAAAAUGAUUUAAGGUCCCAACGGGAAUUUGUCUCAGUGUCUUCUUUUAUUUCCCCCCUUGCAGAAACGUUGAGGAAGGAAAAUACAUCAAAUGGAGAAAUGAGGGCCAAUGUAGGCCAUGAGCAGAGGGGAUGCUUAAUCAAUGCUGUUGUCAUUUGUUUGAGCUCAGAUAGCGCUUAUCAUAUUUACCGUUAUUGUCUUUUUUUAUCGGGAAAACCCAAACUGAUAGAGAGUCUAAUCAUUAGGAUUAGCAUGUUCAUUCAGCUUUAUUAUACGAAAAAAUCUUAACCUACACAGCAAUAUUCUCCCAUGUUUAUUUCAAUCUAAUGCAGAAUCCAGCAGCACUGGUAUCCUUAAACUGUCGUUUAACACAACCCUGGUCCUGUUCUUUAGUCAACUCAGCCAUCCUAUCGCCAGAGACGAGAACCAAACAAUGGACAUCACUAAGGCACCUCUAUGACAAUUCAUCAGCAGCGGCUUCAAGAGCUUUCCCGCCAGUUUUAUCAGUAAACAGCCAGUGAAUAUGCUGUUAAACAAACAGCCAUCCAAACAGGACCACCGUGCCUAACAUCAUUACUGUAUGUCUGUGUCCUCAGCUUGUCGACGGGAAGAAAGCGGCAGCCUCGUCUCAUAUGGGGAAUCAAACCGUACCAGAAUUCUGAUCUGACUUGGACCACAUCCCAGAAAGCAGCAGAGUUAAUAGCCUUCCACUCUAUUGAAUAAUGCUUUGAAUCCGUAAUGUAAGGUAUACACAGGAGUGCAGUCUAAUGUGCCAGCAAGGGUACUUCAUUUCCUCUGCUGCGGAAAGCUGAAAAUGUUAGCUUAUUUCUUCAAUUUAAGGGGAGCUCUAAUUGAACAGACUGUUUCUAGACAGUAAUUCAUCUCCAAGCAUCAUCAUGGCCUCUUCGGCACUUGUCCCUGAAAAAAACGUUUUUUUACAUAAAGGGUAGAGAAGAAAAGCACCCCUUCUGAAUCUGCAGUGGUCACAGAGAAGGUGCAAAAAUAGCAGGUUAUUACAACACAAAAAUCUAAAAUGAGUGAAUCAACUUUGAGCCUGGACAUCUUGAACUAGCAGAAGCUAGCAGGGUAACCCUAUUUGAUAGUUAUUGGACACAAUUUGUCUUAAAAACCUCAAAUUUGAAGGACAUGACUUUUGCUUCCUUGAUGUUUGCUGGGGCUAUGAUUGUUAACAUGUGGUGCAUUCCAAUGAGCCAUGCCGAAAAUACAUAACAGAGAAGAUCUUUCACAAUAUUUGCAGAAGACCAUAGGCAAUGUCAUUUUCACAGUUCAAAGUCAAACUUUAUUUGGAGAGCACAUUUAAAAACCCCAUUGACAAAAGUACUCAACAAACUAAAAAAACCAGAAGAAAACAAGCUCAACCUCAGAUAAAUUUCAAAAGCAACUUAAAUGUUUCUGUGGACUGAGUGUUUUGCCAAUGAAUAGGUGAGCUGCUAGGGGAAUGGCAUCAGGAGCAUUCUAUUGGUCAACCUCUGUGCUUUAACUAGUAAGUAAGUAUAAAAACGCUAUUUUGUCUAUAAAAGUUUGCACCAUCCUAUUUAAAACAAGCAAUAUAAUUUCAACAUCAAACAGACAGGAAGUUAGUGGAAGGAGGCCAACACUGGUGAUUUGUGAUCCUCUUUUAUUUUCCAGCGAGAAGAUGAGCAGCUGCACUUUGUACUAAAUGCAAACCAUAAAAGAAAACUGUUCAACACUUACAUACAAUUACAGUAGUCCAACUGAGAGGUAAACAAAUAAUAAAGACCUCCCUUGAGAUAUUUUGGAGAGAGUUGGGCUCAGAUCCAUUACCUCAGAUGUAUGUCUUAAUUGGAAAAGCCUUUCAAUAACUUUCCUGAUUUGUUUAUUAAAUUUGAAGAAUUUGUUAAAAAUCAUGCCACAUUUUUAAGUUUGAUCAUGAGAACAUAAACGGCGUGUGAGGCCCUGAAAACAUAAUGAUUGAUUGAUGAUUUGGUCGUAUUUGAAUUGAGAAAGUUUAGAUCCUUCCAAGUUUGUACAAAUGAAAAGGCUACAAUUAUUAUUUUCCAUAUUUUCCAUGGAGAAUAUUUGCCAAGCUUAACCAAAAACCUUGUAGUAUGACCCAGAGUGGUAUAAAGACCCUGUGAUCCACAUUGUGUACAGCAGAAGUCUAAAAGCAACAGUUUCCUGACUGAACAGUUGAGAGCAGAUCAAUCAUAAUAGGGGCAAAAAAAAGCUUUUGUGCACAAUGAACAAAGAACGUUCCGUCAUUACAAUACAGAAUGUUUGGAGUAAAACUACGAGUACAACGUUGCAUUAGUUAAAGACGGAGCUUAGAAAAAGAAGACAUUUUUCCACCCGUCUUGUGUCCUCUCGAGCUGACAGUACAGUAUAUGUUUGGGCAGACCCCGGUGCCUCAGCCUGAGCUUGUCCACAUGCCAAGCAUUACUGUCGGGGCCACCUGUUGAAAUUGUGGGUGGCUAAUUCUAGUGGUGACUUCUGACUCCCUCUCCAUUACACUCCAUCUGACGGACCACCAGCUACACCAACCAACCACUAACAGCAUUCCACUCUCCUUCCACAGCCCCCCUCACUCCCGCAUGCUCCUAGCAGGCACCCUGUAAGGCAGCCCCCCUUGAUUGAUGGAGUAUCCAUACUCAGGGUUACUUUACACUCCUGAAUAAUGCAUGAAAUGAUGCCACCAGUCCAUUCGGCAGCUCAAAAUGGGGUGAGGCUUCUGUGUUGGAAGAAUCAAAAAGUUUUCCUUCUCCUUGC
ensembl:lncRNA